UGUGAUGUUUUUCUCCACAGGGGCACAGAUACUUUCUUCAGAAAUACGCCAGUGUCCGGUCUGAAUGUAGCUCUCCGCUCGAGCGGAGUGAGGGAAUAGAAACCAGGUGUGUGAAAAAACAAAUCAAAACCAAUGGAAAAUGAAAAGUGGAUCGACGAUGGCGAGCGCCGCAAGAACAAGGAGAGGACCCGACUUCGGCGGAUGUCGUGACAUGCGCAAUGUAUCUGCUUAAUAUGCUUCCUCUCCUGCAUACAUUUGUCAGAGAAACGGUAACCACUAUUACUUUGCUACUCAGUAUGACCGUGGCAGGAGGAUCCCUCUGUACUCUUGUCUAUGAAAUGGAUAUCAAAGGGGUUCCUGGCGGAGAUGGGUCCAUAGUUUAUUAUGAACCACAGUUUAUGCGUCCUGACCUAACACUACAGCAAAUGGAUAAGAAAGGAUCCUUGAGUGAGAUCAAAAAAUACUACAACCAAAACAAUGGCUGCAGAGAAAGCUCUCCACAAUACCGACAGAACUAAAGCAUGUGGGUAGACCAGAACGAGCAAGUCAAUGUUCCGAGUUACUACUGGAAUGCCUACUGCUGCACUAUAACAAGAACCGCAACUCUCUCAUGUCUGGAGGUGCCUUGAGAAAUAACAGCUCAGGGUGUUAAAGAUGAUCUUAACUCUGACACUGCUUCGAGGGCUACUGAGUGUUGGCAACAAUUUCAUAUUCCAUUAUGAUCUGGUAUGAUUUUGAAUUCAUGCUUAGAUUCAUACAUGGUUUGGCGGGGAAUUCCCAAGGAGAUGUUUGAAAAUUAGCCACGUUAGCUACAUCAGCAUUUUUAAACAUAUCCCUGACCAUAAAUAUUAUCCUAUUGAUCAAAUUUGUGGUUAAAAUGUAUUACAAAUUCAAAACGUAUCCUUUGUGGUAAUUAUUCGUAAAGCGUAUGUUUGUUUGUUUGGUCACACAGAGUUGUGCAACCAAGUCUUUGUGAAUGCUUGUUGCUAUGAAUCUAUAACCCAAUAAAGCUUGUUUUGUGAAAAUAG